UUGCUUCAGCAGCACAUAUACUAAAAUUGGAAUGAUACAGAGAAGAUUAGCAUGGCCCCUCGGCAGGGAUGACAUGCAAAUUUGUGGAGCAUUCCAUAUUUGU
ensembl:snRNA U6 U6 spliceosomal RNA